rnacentral:rRNA from 1 species
AUGGCCGUGUCGACGGAGCUGCCGGAGGCCGGGUCCCCGCAGGAGCAGGGGACGGAGGCGACGGCGCCGCCUCCCCCCGGCCUGCGGUACAACUCGCCGCUGGUCCAGGUGUCGCUGAUCGGGCUGGUGUGCUUCUGCUGCCCGGGCAUGUUCAACGCGCUGUCCGGGCUGGGCGGGGGCGGGCAGUUGGACCACACCACGGCCGACAACGCCAACACGGCGCUCUACGCCUGCUUCGCCAUCUUCGGCGUCCUCGGCGGCGCCGCCCACAACCUGCUCGGCCCGCGCCUCACGCUGCUCCUGGGGUCCCUCACCUACCCGCUCUACGCCGCCUCCUUCCUCUACUACAACCACCGCAAGUCCCAGACGUUCCCCAUCAUCGCCGGCGCGCUGCUCGGCGCCGGCGCGGGCCUGCUCUGGGCGGCGCAGGGCGCCAUCAUGACCUCCUACCCGCCGCCCAACCGCCGGGGCAGCUACAUCUCGCUCUUCUGGUGCCUCUUCAACCUGGGCGGCGUCCUGGGGGGCCUCCUCCCCUUCUCCUUCAACUACGCCCGCACCGACGCCGGCAGCGUGAACGACGCCACCUACGGGGCCUUCAUCGGCUUCAUGCUCCUCGGCGCCGCGCUCACCUUCCUCGUCCUCCCCCCCGCCAGGAUCGUCCGGGACGACGGCACCCGCGCCACCAGGGUCACCUACUCCUCGGUGUCCACCGAGGGGUGGGAGAUCCUCAAGCUCUUCACCAACUGGAGGAUGCUGCUCAUCCUGCCCGCCGCAUGGGCCAGCAACUUCUUCUACACCUACCAGUUCAACAACGUCAAUGGCCUCCUCUUCACCCUGAGGACCAAGGGCCUCAACAAUGUUUUCUAUUGGGGCGCGCAGAUGAUCGGCUCCGCCGGCAUCGGAUACUUCCUCGACUUCGGCUUCGCCAGCCGCCGGAAGAGGGGCCUCAUGGGCGUCGCCGCCGUCGCCCUCCUCGGCACCGCCAUCUGGGCCGGCGGCCUCGCCAACCAGCUGAGGUAUCUCGACGGCGAAUUCCCCGACAAGAUCGACUUCAAGGAGGGCCGCCGCUACGCCGGGCCAUUCCUGCUCUACUUCAGCUACGGCCUCAUGGACGCCAUCUUCCAGAGCCUCAUCUACUGGAUCAUCGGCGCCCUCGCAAACGACUCACAGAUCCUAAGCAGAUACGUUGGGUUCUACAAGGGUGUGCAGAGUGCAGGAGCGGCCGUGGCAUGGCAGGUGGACACCCACAAGACGUCCCUGCUGUCGCAGCUGAUCGUGAACUGGGGGCUGUGCACCGUCAGCUACCCGCUGCUGGCGGUCCUGGUGCUCCUGGCCGUCAAGGACGAGGACUACUCGGUGUCAAACGUUGACGACGGCGGCAAGGAGAAAGACGCCAAGAUGGCCGCGCCGUCAAGCUUCCACUGA